rnacentral:rRNA from 1 species
UACGAAGGGGGCGAGCGUUGUUCGGAAUUACUGGGCGUAAAGGGCGCGUAGGCGGUCCUUCAAGUCAGGCGUGAAAGCCCCGGGCUCAACCUGGGAACCGCGCUUGAGACUGGCGGACUCGAGUUCGGGAGAGGAUGGUGGAAUUCCCAGUGUAGAGGUGAAAUUCGUAGAUAUUGGGAAGAACACCGAUGGCGAAGGCAGCCAUCUGGACCGACACUGACGCUGAGGCGCGAAAGCGUGGGGAGCAAACAGGG